rnacentral:rRNA from 1 species
GACGAACGCUGGCGGCGUGCUUAACACAUGCAAGUCGAACGGAAAGGCCCUGCUUUUGUGGUGUGCUCGAGUGGCGAACGGGUGAGUAACACGUGAGUAACCUGCCCUUGACUUUGGGAUAACUUCAGGAAACUGGGGCUAAUACCGGAUAGGAGCUCCUGCUGCAUGGUGGGGGUUGGAAAGUUUCGGCGGUUGGGGAUGGACUCGCGGCUUAUCAGCUUGUUGGUGUGGUAGUGGCUUACCAAGGGUUUGACGGGUAGCCGGCCUGAGAGGGUGACCGGCCACAUUGGGACUGAGAUACGGCCCAGACUCCUACGGGAGGCAGCAGUGGGGAAUAUUGCACAAUGGGCGGAAGCCUGAUGCAGCAACGCCGCGUGCGGGAUGACGGCCUUCGGGUUGUAAACCGCUUUCGCCUGUGACGAAGCGUGAGUGACGGUAAUGGGUAAAGAAGCACCGGCUAACUACGUG